GACGAACGCUGGCGGCGUGCUUAACACAUGCAAGUCGAGCGGAAAGGCUCCUUCGGGGGUACUCGAGCGGCGAACGGGUGAGUAACACGUGAGUAAUCUGCCCUGGACUCUGGGAUAGCCACCGGAAACGGUGAUUAAUACCGGAUAUGACCAGCUUCCGCAUGGUGGUUGGUGGAAAGUUUUUUCGGUCCAGGAUGUGCUCGCGGCCUAUCAGCUUGUUGGUGAGGUAAUGGCUCACCAAGGCUUUGACGGGUAGCCGGCCUGAGAGGGUGACCGGUCACACUGGGACUGAGACACGGCCCAGACUCCUACGGGAGGCAGCAGUGGGGAAUAUUGGACAAUGGGCGGAAGCCUGAUCCAGCAACGCCGCGUGAGGGAUGACGGCCUUCGGGUUGUAAACCUCUUUCAGUACCGACGAAGCGAAAGUGACGGUAGGUACAGAAGAAGGACCGGCCAACUACGUGCCAGCCGCCGCUGUAAGAC
rnacentral:rRNA from 1 species